UCAUAAAUCCCGAAGGUGAGAAUCUGGACUAUCUUGUUGAGUUGAUGAAGGACGGAAAGCUCAGGACUUUGGUUGACUCAAAGCACCAUCUGAGCAAGGCUGAAGAUGCUUGGGCUAGGAAAACUGAUGGCUAUGCUGUUGGGAAGAUCAUUGUGGAGACUUAGAGUUAAGAGUAAAAAUAUUGGGAUUUUAUAAACUCAGUUCUUUCUACAAAUCCAGGCUCAUUUUGCUCUUUCUAAUCAGCAGCUCCCUUAUUAACCCCGGAAAAUCUUUAAGGAUGACAACAACAAUGUGCAUUUGUCUGAGGUCUAUUUAGAACCUCACUAACUGCAAUGAGAGAUCUAAUAGAAGCCAUCUCUAUCUAUCAUUAAAACAAUCGACUGCACAAGGAAAACAUUUCGAGUAUUGCUGCAGUAAACUUGCAAUUCAGUUCAGAGGGUCCCCUGAAAUCCAACAGAGACUCCAAUGGAGCUCAAGACAAAAUACAAAAGAAUGUGCCUUACCUCAUGAUGCCCUGAAACUGCGGCCCUACAAAGAAUUGAUCAAAAUGGCCAAAGUCCUAAGAAAGCUGAAGCUAGCCAAAUUUGAGUGCAAAUGGGAAGGUUACAGACCUUACUUCCGGCCCAAGUACCUUGAUCACUUGUGUUCUGCAGAGACUCAGCUUCCAGGAAAGAGCUGGUGCGAUUGAUCAUAAAU
rnacentral:lncRNA from 1 species